rnacentral:lncRNA from 1 species
CCCAACAUUCUGUGCCAUACAACAUCGCUGGCCUUAUUGCCGUCCUAUAAAAUUUUCCCUUGAGCUUCAGUGGCCUACGACGGUCACACAACACGUUGGAUGCACUCUUACACUUCAUCCAUCCAGCUUGUAUUCUAUGGUUGAUAUCUCCAUCUAAUUCUCCGUUCUCUUGCAAGAUAGAUCCUAGGUAGCGAAAACGGUCACUUUUUGUGAUCUUCGCUAAAUUGCUCCGGUCAUUAGUGUGGAUAAGUAUAUAAAUGGAUAGAGAUAGGAGAGCAAAUACAAGAUGUACGUGGUUCACCCAGAUUGGCUACGUCCACGGAAUAGAGG